GGAUAGAUGGCCGAGUGGUCGAAGGCGCACGACUGGAAAUCGUGUGUACCCCUAAAGGGUACCGAGGGUUCGAAUCCCUCUUUAUCCGCCA
rnacentral:tRNA from 1 species